ACAAUGAUGACAACAGUCUAUCCAUUCAACGAUAUGUACGGGCCGAGCCAUCCAUCCGCACUGGAGCGUCUUUCGGGGCGUGAGGACUAGUUGUGGUGUCUCCCUUCGGGGUGUCAUUUGGCUUCCGUUGUCCGAGUCUCCUGCGCACCGUUUUGGGGCGUGGGAGGCUUGGGCCGGCUUUGUAGGGCUGAGUUAAAACGGCUUGUCUGAUC
rnacentral:snoRNA from 1 species